CACGUAGUUAGCCGGUGCUUCUUAUCUACCUACCGUCACCCGGUAGGCUUCGUCGAUAGCGAAAGGAGUUUACAACCCGAAGGCCUUCAUCCCCCACGCGGCGUCGCUGCAUCAGGCUUGCGCCCAUUGUGCAAUAUUCCCCACUGCUGCCUCCCGUAGGAGUCUGGGCCGUAUCUCAGUCCCAAUGUGUCCGUACACCCUCUCAGGCCGGAUACCCGUCGCCGCCUUGGUAGGCCAUUACCUCACCAACAAGCUGAUAGGCCGCGAGUCCAUCCUUGACCGAAAUUCUUUCCACAACCAGACGAUGCCGUCAGUUGUCAUAUCCGGUAUUAGACGCCGUUUCCAGCGCUUAUCCCAGAGUCAAGGGCAGGUUACUCACGUGUUACUCACCCGUUCGCCACUAAUCCCCGGAACAAGCUCCGGUUCAUCGUUCGACUUGCAUGUGUUAAGCACGCCGCCAGCGUCGUCUCGUAGCCACGGACUCGAAACUACU
rnacentral:rRNA from 1 species